AUUGAACGCUGGCGGCAGGCCUAACACAUGCAAGUCGAGCGAGCGGCGGACGGGUGAGUAAUGUCUGGGAAACUGCCUGAUGGAGGGGGAUAACUACUGGAAACGGUAGCUAAUACCGCAUCCCAUCAGAUGUGCCCAGAUGGGAUUAGCUAGUAGGUGGGGUAACGGCUCACCUAGGCGACGAUCCCUCGCUGGUCUGAGAGGAUGACCAGCCACACUGGAACUGAGACACGGGCCAGACGCCUACGGGAGGCAGCAGUGGGGAAUAUUGCACAUUGGGCGCAAUCCUGAUGCAGCAAUGCCGGGUGUGGGAAGAAGGCCUUCGGGUGGUAAAGCCCUUUUAGCGGGGAGGCGGUACCCGCAGAAGAAGCACCGGCUAACUCCGUGCCAGCAGCCGCGGUAAUAC
rnacentral:rRNA from 1 species